AUUGAACGCUGGCGGCAGGCUUAACACAUGCAAGUCGAGCGAGCGGCGGACGGGUUAGUAAUGUCUGGGAAACUGCCUGAUGGAGGGGGAUAACUACUGGAAACGGUAGCUAAUACAGCAUACCAUCAGAUGUGCCCAGAUGGGAUUAGCUAGUGUGUGGGGUAAUGGCUCACCUAGGCGACGAUCCCUAGCUGGUCUGAGAGGAUGAAACGCCAAACUGGAACUGUGACAAGGGCCAGACUACUACGGGAGGCAGCAGUGGUGAAGAGUGCAAAAUGGGCGAAAGCCUGAUGCAGCAAUGCCGGGUGUGUGAAGAAGGCCUUGGGGUUGUAAAGCACUUUCACGGAGGAGGCGUUACUCGCAGAAGAAGCACCGGCUAAAUCCGUGCCAGCGGCCGCGGUAAGAC
rnacentral:rRNA from 1 species